GAUAGUCCCAGCUUGCUGGGGCAAAAGUGGCGCACGGGUGCGUAACGCGUAUGCAACCUACCUUAAUCAGGGGGAUAGCCCGAAGAAAUUCGGAUUAACACCGCAUAAAAUCACAGCACAGCAUUGUGUAAUGAUCAAAUAUUUAUAGGAUUAAGAUGGGCAUGCGUGACAUUAGUUAGUUGGCGGGGUAACGGCCCACCAAGACCACGAUGUCUAGGGGAUCUGAGAGGAUGACCCCCCACACUGGUACUGAGACACGGACCAGACUCCUACGGGAGGCAGCAGUAAGGAAUAUUGGUCAAUGGAGGCAACUCUGAACCAGCCAUGCCGCGUGCAGGAAGACAGCCCUCUGGGUCGUAAACUGCUUUUAUUCGGGAAUAAACCACAUUACGUGUAGUGUGCUGAAUGUACCGAAGGAAUAAGGAUCGGCUAACUCCGUGCCAGCAGCCGCGGUAAUACGGAGGAUCCAAGCGUUAUCCGGAUUUAUUGGGUUUAAAGGGUGCGUAGGCGGCUUUUUAAGUCAGGGGUGAAAGACGGUAGCUCAACUAUCGCAGUGCCCUUGAUACUGAAGAGCUUGAAUGGACUAGAGGUAGGCGGAAUGUGACAAGUAGCGGUGAAAUGCAUAGAUAUGUCACAGAACACCGAUUGCGAAGGCAGCUUACUAUGGUUUUAUUGACGCUGAGGCACGAAAGCGUGGGGAUCAAACAGGAUUAGAUACACUGGUAGUCCACGCCCUAAACGAUGAAUACUCGCUGUUAGCGAUACACAGUUAGCGGCUAAGCGAAAGCGUUAAGUAUUCCACCUGGGGAGUACGGUCGCAAGAUUGAAACUCAAAGGAAUUGACGGGGGCCCGCACAAGCGGAGGAGCAUGUGGUUUAAUUCGAUGAUACGCGAGGAACCUUACCCGGGCUUGAAAGUUAGUGAAUCAUUUAGAGAUAGAUGAGUCCGCAAGGACACGAAACUAGGUGCUGCAUGGCUGUCGUCAGCUCGUGCCGUGA
rnacentral:rRNA from 1 species